GAGUUCAGCUGAUAGAGCAUAAGACUCUUAAUCUCAGGGUCAUGGAUUUGAGCCCCAUUGGGCAAAUGCA